UAGGUGCAAGCCACUUCAAUAGAGGGACCAGAGGGUGCAACCACAGAGCCAGGAAAGAUCAUAACGGCAAAGGCUGUCGGUGGGCUGAUUGUGAGGUCAGAACUAAAAAACAUUUUCAAAUUUAAGUACACAAGGAAGCUGGCUCAGGAAUCAAGUGCCCCAGAAUCAGAGGACUUCACAACAUGAUCUCUUGCGCACUAGACCGUAAGCAUGGAGCAGGAGCCACAUCCUGCUCAUAAAUAUGACACGGGAUGCCCCCAACUGUAAGUGGCGCCAUUUCCAUGGGGCUCGUGGUAAAGAUGCCCACCUCCUUUCGUCCUGUACUCAUAGACCCUGAGUCCCUUGUAGAAGAGAAAGAGAUUGCUCGCUUUCCUAAUGCCCUGUCGACCUUGAGUACAGAGAGAAAGUGUAUCUCAGCUGGAGCAGGGGCUGGCCCAAAGUGUGGCGACACUGAAUCACCAGGUGAUGUCUAGCCACCCUGGCCUGCCUUCAGCAAGAAUCCUGUUAGGUUGGUUUAGCAAGAAUAACCCUAACCUCUUAGCAGUUUCCAUCCACCAACUCCCCUACUCUGCUCCUUGGCUGUAAAUUCCUACUGUUCCUGGUUGUAUUCAGAGUUGAGCCUAAUCUCUCUCUCCUACAGCAAAAUCCCAUCGCAAUCAUCUCUACACCUAUGGCAAUAAUCCUGCAUAAAGUCUGC
rnacentral:lncRNA from 1 species